GCUUACGACCACACCGGCCUGAGUACGCCUGAUCUCGUCUGAUCUCGGAAGCUAAGCAGGUUCGGGCCUGGUUAGUACUUGGAUGGGAGACUUCCUGGGAAUACCAGGUGCUGUAAGCU
ensembl:rRNA 5S_rRNA 5S ribosomal RNA